UACGUAGGGCGCAAGCGUUGUCCGGAAUUAUUGGGCGUAAAGAGCUCGUAGGCGGCUUGUCACGUCGGGUGUGAAAGCCCGCGGCUUAACCGCGGGCUUGCAGUUGAUACGGGCAGGCUAGAGUUCGGUAGGGGAGACUGGAAUUCCUGGUGUAGCGGUGAAAUGCGCAGAUAUCAGGAGGAACACCGGUGGCGAAGGCGGGUCUCUGGGCCGAUACUGACGCUGAGGAGCGAAAGCGUGGGGAGCGAACAGG
rnacentral:rRNA from 1 species